GUUGUUGUUGUUGUUUUUUGUUUGUUUGUUUAUUCCUUUUAAUGUUACCUGACAAUUUUGUUGGGAGAUAAAGGACUCUUAAAUUUUUAUUUAAAGGCCAGGUGUGGUGGCACAUAUAUAAUUUUGGUAUUUUGGGGGAUGAGAUGAGACUGGGAUAGUCCUGCAAGUUGGAGGCCAGCCAGUGUUAGAGUAAGACCCUGUCACAAUUUUUUCCUCUGGGUGUGGUGCUGCACACCUUUAUUCUAAAACGAAGUGUAGAAGCUGGUGGGUCUGAGUUCAGUUUCUGCCUGGUCUGCCUGUGUGUAACUUCAGACCAUCCAGUUCUACAUAAUGAGAUGGUAUCCUAAAAAUUUUUUAUUUCAGUAAAGCUAAGAAAAUUGUUUUUAAUAAGCAAUAUUUUUUCUCCUAAAUGCUGUUCAUUCUCACUUUAAUAUUUGCUAUUGAAAAGAUACUUUGACCUCUACUUCUGGACAACGAUUUAAAAUGAAAUUAGUUUGAAUGAUAUGAAUUAAUUUCCUCUAAAAUCUGCUCACUUUCAUUUCCAGGGGAAAAUACAUUUUAGUAAGAAAAAUGUAGACUACCAGAAUAGAGAUACAAAACCUAAAAUUUAGUUUUCAUUAAAGCCAAUUUCAACUAUUUUUAAGUUAAAUACAUUGAAUACCGUGUAAGUAAAACUCCGUGGGUGUUAACUUUGAUUAGGCUCUUGAGGCUGAAUAUGACAAUAUGUUUUUGUGUGUGCUGUCAUUGUGAAUAGAGUCACUGGAGAGAGGAUAAAUGUGUGUACAUUGCCUUAAAAGAUUAAUUAGGCUCCAGCCAUUAUUUUAAAUGUUGCUAUGAUUUUUAAGAUUAUAGGGCAGUUUUAGUAACUUACUGUGUGGCAUUUUCUAAGUCCUCUGACAUUGUUACAGUAUCUGGGAACUUGUAAAUGUGUGUUAACUUUUGAGCUUUUAUUAUGUUUAAAAAUCUAUGUCUUCACCAUUUGUUAAAUUUGAGGGAUUGGUAACGAAAUUUGUUGAUUACCCUACUUGACUAAAAAUGAAGAAUGAAGCUGGAGGUAGCCCAGUGGCAGAGUGCGUGUUAAGCAUGCAUGAAGCCCUGGAUUCAUUCCCCAGCACCAAAAAGAAAUGAAAAAGAAGAAUGAAGACCUGUUUCCCCAAUAUAAUACUCAUUAACUGAUACUGAUUAUGUUGGAAAGAAACCAUUGUAUGGUGGGUUUACAUUUAAGAACCUUAAAUAGUAUGACAAUAACUUAUUUCUGCUGAUUUUUGUUACUUUGAGAUUUUACCCUUUUAUUUUGGUGAAGAUCAUUGACACUUUAUUAAGAUAGUCUGCUAAUCCUGUUGGAAAAUACCAUUUCUACUACCUUUUCUAGGGUUGUUUAAUUGCCCAAGUUGACCAAGCGAAGAAUGAUUACAGUUCUUACAAUUUGAAUCAGGAACAGGGCAUCUAUUUAGAGUGAACUCCCCUUUAUUUGCUAGCUGUUUGAUACACGGAGAAGUAACAAAAUUUAUAGUCCCCUUUUUUAAAAGUUGGAGAUUUUAAAAAAAGUUUUACGAAAAUUAAAAGUUAGUUAAAAUUGCUGUAAGAUUUGUCUACAUGCUAAUUGAAAUUUAAAGGUUAUCACAUUUAAAUAUAUGCACCCUUUUAGGGCAACCAAAAUUUCCAGCAUACUUUACACAUAGAAUACAUUAUUGAUUGGACAUUAAAGCAUGUCCAGGAGAUACUUCAGUGUUCUAGUUCAUUAUCACUCAAUUUCAGUAGCCAAUGUAAAUUUUGUUAGAUUUAGGCAAACUUUUAAAAUGUACUGUCAGGCUCUGAGGAAAUUAAAUGCACAAUGACUUUUUAAAGUAUGGGUUGAACUCCUCAGUUUAAUACAAUUUGUGUUUUUGUUAACUAGCAGCAGAAUUUCAGCAUUUGCUACUUACUGGUAGAGAAGAAAAAUCCCACAGCCCUGCCAGUACAGUUUAAUCUAAGAAUGGCGUAGAUACAGUGGAAAUGGUUUUCCUUAUCUCUUUAGAGCCGCCUUUCUGGUGAGUAUUGCUUUAUAAUUUUCAUAUCAUGGCUUUAUUUUUUUAGCCUAGCUGAAACAUGACAGUGAUCAAAGAGGAGAGCUGUCAGAAUUUUCACAGCUUGGGUAGUAAUUGGAUCAGAUCCUUAGACUAUUGACAUUUCCCUAUGUGCCCUAUUUGGGUUCAGCCACCCCUCUCAUUUUCCUAAAGGAUCAUAUGUCCAAAAAUGUUGAACACAGAUUAUUUCCUUUGGUGAGGAGAAAUGAUUGUUUUACUUAAAAUUAUAGAUUAAAAUCUAGGGACAGGAGAGACGGCUCAACAGUUUAAGGCCAUGCCAUAACUCCAGUUUGUGGUGGUACACACCUUUAAUCCUAUCACUUGAGAAGGGAGAGGCAAGUGAAUCUCCAGGAGUUCCAGGACAGCCUAGUCUACAUAGUGAGUUCAAGGACAGCCACGGUUAUGUAGAGAAACCUUCUCUCCAAAAAAGAAAAAGAAAAAACAUGUCAUGCUGGCAGUGGACCUAAGCUCGGUUCCCAUUAUCCAUAUCAGGUGACUCACAACCACUUAGCUCCAUGAGGAUCUUGGACAUAUGUGCUCAUGAGCACAUACACAUGCACAUAAUUAAGAAAUAACAUCUUUUUAAACCCCCCCCUUUUUUUAACACAGUACUUUUUUUUCCCCCAGUGAUCUUGUUUCUCACUGCAUAGGUGAAUGAAAUAGUAGAAUUGUAUUCUGUUCUUGAGCAGUUUUAAUCAUUCUAAUCCUGCAUGGAAAACUUGGGGUACAAAUACUGAUUUCUAGCAUAAUGUUUACCUGUGAAAAUUAGCCCACAAAUCCAUUUAUUACUGUCUUGUUUAGUCAUUAGCCUGUGACAGAAGGAUUUCUUUCCCUCUUGUUUUUGGCCACAUUCUAGAUAAUGUCAGUAUAUUUAUAUAUACAUUCCAUUUCUGCUAUGACCUUUGUGAAUCAAUAAAGUCAAUGCUGUUGCUUUUAGUAUAAACAAUAUUAGUUUUCUAAAAUCUGGAAUUCAUGAUGUGAGUGUGUAUGGUAAUGUAUUCUAGAUGAGCUCUCAACAAAGUCUUGAGUCUGAAUUUAUGUCUUUAAGAUUUAAAGUGAAAUAAAUUUCUAAGGAACUCUGUCCUUUCCUAGCAUGGAUAAGCAGACUGACAGUUGGUAAGUAUGUAACUUCAAAUGCAUGUAGUGGUAAGGGUGAGUUGCCAAACUGUACUCCAAGACAAUAAGAAGAGAACAGAAAUUCCUGAAUCAGUCUAGGAACUUUAUAUGUAUAUUUAAUGUUUGCUCCAAAUAUGUGUACUCAAAAUGAUUAAACUGAAACACACAUUA